rnacentral:rRNA from 1 species
CCGCGGUAAUUCCAGCUCCAAUAGCGUAUACUAAAGUUGUUGCGGUUAAAAAGCUCGUAGUUGGAUCUUGGAAUGUGUUCAAGCGGGUCAGCUUCUGGCUGUGCGCUGCUUGACGUGUUCUUCUAUUUGGUUUUGGUGCGGUGCGCUUAACUGCGUGUCGCUCCCGGCCGAAACGUUUACCUUGAAAAAAUUAGAGUGUUCAAAGCAGACCUGUUUGAGUCUGAAUAUUCGUGCAUGGAAUAAUGAAAUAUGAAUUCGAUUCUAUUUUGUUGGUUUUCGGAACUCGAGUUAAUGAUCAAGAGGGACAGACGGGGGCAUUCGUACUCUGCCGUUAGAGGUGAAAUUCUUGGAUCGGCGGAAGACGCGCAACUGCGAAAGCAUUUGCCAAGAAUGUUUUCUUUAAUCAAGAACGAUAGUCGGAGGUUCGAAGACGAUCAGAUACCGUCCUAGUUUCGACUGUAAACUAUGCCAGCUAACGAUCAGACAGAGUUCUCUACGACUUGUCUGGCAGUUUCCGGGAAACCAAAGCGUUUGGGUUCCGGGGGAAGUAUGGUUGCAAAGCUGAAACUUAAAGGAAUUGACGGAAGGGCACCACCAGGAGUGGAGCCUGCGGCUUAAUUUGACUCAACACGGGGAAACUCACCCGGCCCGGACACAGUGAGGAUUGACAGAUUGAGAGUUCUUUCUUGAUUCUGUGGGUGGUGGUGCAUGGCCGUUCUUAGUUGGUGGAGCGAUUUGUCUGGUUAAUUCCGAUAACGAACGAGACUCUGGCAUGUUAAAUAGUCGCGGAAGUGCGUAUGCACUUGCCGAAUUGACUUCUUAGAGGGACUAGUGAUUUUAAUUCACACGAGAUUGAGCAAUAACAGGUCUGUG